rnacentral:rRNA from 1 species
UAAAGGCGCAAUGAAAGUAAAGGUUCGCCUCGCGCGAACCUAGGGAGGAUGGGCGCGUCGCCGUACGCGCCCCGCACUCCCGGGGCGUCUCGUUCUCAUUGCGAGAAGAGGCGCACCUAGAGCGUACACGCUGGGACCCGAAAGAUGGUGAACUAUGCUUGGUCAGGACGAAGUCAGGGGAAACCCUGAUGGAGGUCCGUAGCGAUUCUGACGUGCAAAUCGAUCGUCGGAACUGAGUAUAGG